GACAGAGGGUGCAACGUUGCUCGGAAUCACUGGGCGUAAAGGGUGCGUAGGCGGGUUUUAAGUCAGGGUGAAAUCCUGGAGCUCAACUCCAGAACUGCCUUUGAUACUGAAGAUCUUGAGUUCGGGAGAGGUGAGUGGAACUGCGAGUGUAGAGGUGAAAUUCGUAGAUAUUCGCAAGAACACCAGUGGCGAAGGCGGCUCACUGGCCCGAUACUGACGCUGAGGCACGAAAGCGUGGGGAGCAAACAG
rnacentral:rRNA from 1 species